AUGGUUUCCCACAAGGAUAAGGCUCAAAAGGCGUAUGAGGCCAUGGGGCGUCUCGGCUUCUCCAAGAAGCAGGUUUCGCUAGUCCCGAGGCACCUCUACAACCUCUUUGACAAAAACUAGGAGCCCAUCAAGGACGAGAGCUACCGCAUCCUUGCUGACACCAUCCUGGAUAGCCAAAAGAAUCAACCAAUUCCUGCCACUAGCCAUCAUGUGACAGACCAAGCGUCCGAGCCUCACAACUCAACGCCGGUCACACCAGAUCAAGAUGACCAACACCCUUCUGCCGCUCGGUAUGACAUGGAUGUCAGUGAUAAUGAAACCUCCCUCAUCAACAGACCCAUGGAUGUCAGUGAAAAUCCCUAAGAUGCUCUCUUCUUACAAGAGCCCAAACCUGAACCUGAAAUUGAUAUUCCAGCUACCCCUGUUGCCAACGACCUCAAUACUGGGUCUUCAGAGUCACGUGCUGUGCAUUCUGAAGCUCAAAACAAUGGUGGCAGCUUGCAAGAAUAGGCUUUGGAGACAUAUGCUCCAUUUGUGAAACCAAUUGCUUGUAAGCAUGCUGUUGAUGGGAAUGGUAAUGCUGCUGUAGGAUCAUCCUUGGAACCUAGCUUUCAAAAUUGGGUAGUUGCUUAUCAGCCUCAGGAAGCACUUUUUAAGCAAAGGUUGCUGCAUGAUGUUGCUGACAUAACGAAGGGAGAAGAAAGAGUUAGAAUACCUAUUGUAAACGAAUUUGGUAGUGAUAGUUGUCUGCAAUUGUUCUAUUACAUAAGAAAGAAUCUCACUUUCCAAAGUGCUUAUGUCAACACCUCACUUGCGCGGAUUGGUGAUGAGGAUUGCUGCGCAGAUUAUUCAGGCAACUGCUUAUUAGAAUCACAUCCAUGUGCAUGUGCAAGAUCAACUGGAGGCGGGAUUGCAUACACACCAGAGGGCCUGGUCAGGGCAGAAUUAAUUGAUGAGUGCAUAGUUGUUAAUCACUUCCAAGAAAAGGAUAAUAAGUUCUACUAUAAAGCUUGCCCUCUUGAAAUAUAUAUGAUGAAGCCCUCAUCGGAUCCAUGUAAAGGUCAUCUUGCUAAAUUCAUUAAGGAAUGUUGGAGUAAAUGUGGCUGUGGCAUGCAGUGUGGAAAUUGUGUGAUUCAAUGUGGGAUAACAUGCAAUUUUCAGGGUGUUUUCACGAAUGAAGGGAAGGGUUGGGGGCUAUGUACGCUGGAUGGGCUACCAAAAGGUGCUUUCAUUCGUGAAUUAGUUGGGGAGGUACUAACAAGUUUUGAACUACAUGAGAGAAAAGCCAAAAAUUCUAAGCAUGUGGAUCAAGUGCUCCUAGAUGCUAGUUGGGGUUCUGAAGGGCUGCUAAGAGAUGAGGAAGCUCUAUGCCUUGAUCUAGCAUAUUAUGGGAAUGUCGGGUUUGUCAACCAUAGAUGCUAUGAUGCAAAUUUGGUAAUCAUACCUAUUGAAGUCGAGACUCCUGAUCGCCAUUAUUACCAUCUUGCAUUAUUCACUGCCAAGAAAAUAGAGGCUUUUGAGGAGUUAACGCGGGUAAGUGUCUGUAUCAUUUUCUCAACACUAGUAUACAUGACAACCACCUGCAAGUACUUGAUAAUACCCUCAAUUAAUACCUGCACAAUAUGA
rnacentral:rRNA from 1 species